rfam:Loxodonta africana unplaced genomic scaffold scaffold_26, whole genome shotgun sequence.
CCCUGGGUGGUGCAAACGAUUAACACGCUUGGCUGCUAACCAAAAGGUUGGAGGUUCAAGUCCACCCAGAGGCA